UUUUUUUUUUUAACCAAAUCAAAUGUCCAAACAUGUUUCAAAACUAUUUUUACUAUCAUUUUACCCCAGAAUUUGGCCAAAUGUUUGACAUGAAGAUCACAAUAUUGUUUUUAUUAUGAAUUUUCCCAUUUCAGACAAACCUUUCAGCUGUCUGAUUAUUUAAAUCGCUCAGUUGGGAAUAGGGUAUUUAUAUUAGUUUGAUAUUGCUGGGAUAAAAUCCCCAAGUAAUACAGUUUACAGGAUGAAGGCUUUAUUUGGACUCAGGGUUUUGAAGGUCUCAGUCCAUCCUGACAGGAAAGCAUGGCAGAGCAGCUUAGACCACAGUUAACAGGAAGCAGAGUGCACAUCUGUGCUGGCAAGGCAUUCUCCUCACUCGCCUCUUAGACCAGUGCUUCUCAGCCUUCCCGAGGCUGUGACCCUUUAAUACAGCUCCUCAGGUCAUGGUGACCCCCAAAACUGUAAUUUUGGUGCUGUUAUGAAUCACAAUGUAAAUAUUUUUGGAGACAGAGGUUUGCCAAAGGGGCCAUACCCACAGGUAGAGAACCUCUGUCUUAGACCAUUCUGUUCACUUAACCUGUGAGAUGGUGACAGUCAUGUUCAGAAAAGUCUUCCCACAGUCCAUCCUUGUGGAUGUGUGCCCAGACGCAGUCAGAGUUGUAAGUCAGUCGUUUUCUUGGCAUGUCUCCAUCCAGGUAAGUUGACAACUAGAUUAAGCAGCUGAGUAUUGGUGGUAGAGUGAAAACUGUGCCUUUAAGCCUUGGACCCAAAAUAGACGGUAAGCUCAAUAAAAUAAAUGUUCAAGCUCUUUGGAACAAGUAUAAAAAAGUAAGUGAAUUUUAAAACCAAUUUAAUCUGUUUUCUCUGAUUUGUAUCUCCAAGGAUACAGGUUAUCUAUCUUCUCUUCUGGAAUAGCAUCUAUUGGCAGUAGCAAGGAUCUCAUUAAAGUCUACUUUGCAUUGUAUAUUUUGCAUUGAAUUUUUUUAAAGCACAAAUGUUUUCCAAAUACCAGCACAAUGAGCUGAGUGAUUACAGUAAAGAAGGGUACAUGGUUUUUGUUUGUUUGUUACUUUGGUUUUGCUUUGUUUUGGUUUUUAACAAAUUCUAUGGAUGGAUCAAAUGUAGAUAUGAACAUUCAGGGUGUGCCUCUUACCUCCUAUGUGUUCCUCUCCUUCCAAAGACAUAGAUCAAUUUUCAAAAAAGAAAAGCUCGCCAAUGUAGUAAGACAACACUUUCAACUCAACAAAUGUACCACUUUAUUUUUAGGUCUUUGAGAGGAGUUGCAAAAUGACACCACUACAGCUCUCAGAGAGGUGAACUGAGCUGACCCUCUUCUUAGCACCCUGUGCACAGUACUCAGACAAAUCUCACAGAAUGAAAACCCUGAUUCUGAAGCCCUUCAAUAAUGAGCUGCCAAGUCCUCGUGCCUUGAGAAAAAUCCACAACUGUGUCUAUCUCCAUGUUAAAAAAAUGGAUUUCUUUAAAAUGGAAAUUUUUAAAAAUUAUGUUUUCCAGAAACCAGGGCAGUGGCCUGAGUACUUACACUAAAGACAGGUGGAGUGGUGUUGGGGAGUUGUUUGUUUGUUUAGAAUUGUUUGGUUUUAUGUUUUCUUAAUAAAUUCUUUGGAUAGAUCACUUACAUUUUUUUGCAGCUAAAGUAAUUCUCCUUGACCUGGAGAAAAUAAGUCUUAGAAUUGUUAACUUUGUAACCGUUGGAAAUAAUGGUUUUCACCUGUGCCCCCUCCAGCAGAGUGGCUCUACUGUACUGCCCAAGUGAGGUACUGCAGAUAAGGGAGAGUUGGUGGGCUGACCAGCCCAGCUACCACCCAGACCCACCUCAAAAUCUACAUCAACUGUAAACUGUUGGAACACAUGAAAAGGCUGGUCCUGGUAGUCCAAAGCUGCCAUGACACAGGGCAACAGGAUAACUGGGAGGAGUCCCUGUGAGAAUCCAAUAUGGAUGACGUCACAGAAGCCACAGGCCUAGAACCGAAGCCACAGGUCUAGAACCAGACCAGUGACUCAUUACAAUGAACAUGUGCAAGUGAAGAUGCAUAGACAGAGGGUAUUCCGUGGGCUACACUGACAUCUUCCAUGAUGUUUUCUAUGCUUUGGGGUUUUUUUUUUUGUUUUGUUUUGUUUUUAGUUUUAAUUUGGGCCUUGGGAGGUUGCAAGGAAGAGGAUGGCUAUAAGGGGACCAAGAGAUGCGUGGGACUGGGGGGCAUGAUGUGAAACUCACUAAGAAUUAAUAAAAAAUUGG
rnacentral:lncRNA from 1 species